AUAAAGACUCUCGGCAAUGGAUACCUCUGUUCUCGCAUCGAUGAAGAACGUAGCGAAAGGCGAUACAUGGUGUGAAUUGCAGAAUCCCAUGAACUAUCGAGUCUUUGAAUGCAAGUUGCGCCCGAAGCCAUUCGGCCGAGGGCACGUCUGCCUGGGCAUCACGC
rnacentral:rRNA from 1 species